CCUACGGGGGGCUGCAGUGGGGAAUAUUGGACAAUGGGGGCAACCCUGAUCCAGCCAUGCCGCGUGUGUGAAGAAGGCCCUCGGGUUGUAAAGCACUUUCAGUGAGGAAGAACGCCUGGUGGUUAAUACCCAUCAGGAAAGACAUCACUCACAGAAGAAGCACCGGCUAACUCCGUGCCAGCAGCCGCGGUAAUACGGAGGGUGCGAGCGUUAAUCGGAAUUACUGGGCGUAAAGCGCGCGUAGGUGGCUUGAUAAGCCGGUUGUGAAAGCCCCGGGCUCAACCUGGGAACGGCAUCCGGAACUGUCAAGCUAGAGUGCAGGAGAGGAAGGUAGAAUUCCCGGUGUAGCGGUGAAAUGGGUAGAGAUCGGGAGGAAUACCAGUGGCGAAGGCGGCCUUCUGGACUGACACUGACACUGAGGUGCGAAAGCGUGGGUAGCAAACAGGAUUAGAUACCCUUGUAGUC
rnacentral:rRNA from 1 species